UACGUAGGGUGCGAGCGUUGUCCGGAAUUACUGGGCGUAAAGAGCUCGUAGGUGGUUUGUCGCGUUGUUCGUGAAAACUCACAGCUUAACUGUGGGCGUGCGGGCGAUACGGGCAGACUGGAGUACUGCAGGGGGAGACUGGAAUUCCUGGUGUAGCGGUGGAAUGCGCAGAUAUCAGGAGGAACACCCGUGGCUAAGGCGGCUCUCUAGUACGGUACUGACGCUGAGACGCGAAAGCGUGGGGAGCGAACAGG
rnacentral:rRNA from 1 species